rnacentral:lncRNA from 1 species
CUGAAUUUUGACGUAAUUUCUUUUGAUGUAGCUAGCAGGUGGCAGAGGUGUAUUUGAAAGUCGGCAGUACCCUGACAGCGAUUAGAAUGUCCUCCGUCUGCUAGUCUUCUUGAUUCUUAAAUUCUGUGGAGCUCAAAUAGACAAUAAAGCUUUGUGGAACUCAUUAAGUGUUAGCAUAAAUAUCUAGCCUUUAUCAUCUUGAGCCCCCUUAAUAAAUAUUACUCUCUAUUUUUAUAUUUUCAUUUUAUAAAGUAGAAAAGAAAUAUUUAUUUUAUUUUUAUGCCACCACAGUGGAUGUACUUAUGGGUUUCGUGCCACUCGUAUACUCACAUGGGGCUUACUAUUUUUUAACAUUUUUAUUUUCUUUUUAGGAUAGCAUGAACACGAUUAACUGAGCAAACUAUUUUAAAUAAUUGAAAAGAAAAGGAUAACUACCAAGUUUACCUCUUGGCAAGGCGUUCGGCGUUUUUAAGUCCUCCGAACGGGAUUCUCCGUUUUCUAAAUUGUCCUGGGAUUCGUUGGGUGGCGGAGUCGGUACUUCCGGCGGUGCCUCCUCUUCAUGUAUAGUAAUCUUCUCUUGCCAUACCUGACUCGGUGCUACGGUCUCCUCUGGAUAAUUCUGUUUAAACUGUAUGUCUUCUGACCUUACCACUUCUCCUUCAUAGUCUACCAUCCGUCCUUGAUAAUUUCCCUCCUCUGGUUGUGGUUGCGUCGUUUUCUGGCCUGCUUAGAGUCUUCAACGAUAUUGUUAGGGUCAGUAAAAUAGCGGCGUACCUUCUCUGAGGGGAAGUGCAUAUGGAUUUCUCCAGUUCCAAUGUAGAUGAUUGCUUUAACGGUGCUGAGGAACGGUCUUCCAAGGAUGAUGGGUGGAUCGUACUCGUCUUCUCCCAUGUCAAUAACCUAAAAGUCUGUGUAGACAAAAUGAUCGUCUAUUUUGACAGGGACAUCAGUUACCAUCCCUUUAACCUCUCAAAAUGUCUGGUCUGCCAUCUAGAGCUGAAUGUAUGUUGGUUUCAGGGGCAUGGUUCCGAACAAGAGCCGAUAGGUGACUGCGGCCAUUAUGUUGACGCCCGAUCCGGUGUCACAAGUCGUCUUGUAGAAGUUGUAUCCAUU